rnacentral:misc_RNA from 1 species
GAUAUUUUUACUAUUACCUAUCAAAAGGCAGAUAGCCAGACUGAUAAUACCCCUCAAGAGGGUUCAAGUUCUAUACAGAAAUCUUCUAAAACCAGCUCUGUUUCCGGUUCUGGCAGUGAUUCUCGUUGGCAACAAAUGUCGCUCAUUGAUAGCAUUUUGCAAGGAGAGCUUCCUUGUGAUCUUGAAAAGUCUAACCCUACAUACAAU